rnacentral:rRNA from 1 species
UACGUAGGGACCGAGCGUUGUCCGGAAUCAUUGGGCGUAAAGAGCGUGUAGGCGGCCACUUAAGUCCUGCGUGAAAUCUUGCGGCUCAACCGCAAGCGGUCGUGGGAAACUGGGUGGCUAGAGUGCGGGAGAGGAGAGUGGAAUUCCUGGUGUAGCGGUGGAAUGCGCAGAUAUCAGGAAGAACACCCGUGGCGAAGGCGGCUCGCCGGAACGCAACUGACGCUGAGACGCGAAAGCGUGGGGAGCAAACAGG